rnacentral:rRNA from 1 species
AUCUCUUGGUUCUGGCAUCGAUGAAGAACGCAGCGAAAUGCGAUAAGUAAUGCGAAUUGCAGAAUUCCGUGAGUCAUCGAAUCUUUGAACGCACAUUGCGCCCUCUGGUACUCCGGGGGGCAUGCCUGUUCGAGCGUCAUU